rnacentral:rRNA from 1 species
GACGAACGCUGGCGGCGUGCUUAACACAUGCAAGUCGAGCGGUAAGGCCCUUUCGGGGUACACGAGCGGCGAACGGGUGAGUAACACGUGGGUGACCUGCCCUUAGCUCUGGGAUAAGCCUGGGAAACUGGGUCUAAUACCGGAUAUGACUCCAUGACGCAUGUUGUGGGGUGGAAAGCCUUGUGCGGCUAGGGAUGGGCCUGCGGCCUAUCAGCUUGUUGGUGGGGUGANGGCCUACCAAGGCGACGACGGGUAGCCGGCCUGAGAGGGCGACCGGCCACACUGGGACUGAGACACGGCCCAGACUCCUACGGGAGGCAGCAGUGGGGAAUCUUGCGCAAUGGGCGAAAGCCUGACGCAGCGACGCCGCGUGGGGAUGACGGCCU